rnacentral:lncRNA from 1 species
ACGUAAAGGCGGCUGCACCACGUGACAGAGGUACCAAGUACGACCGCAAUAUACAGUCUGCGCAAGGUACCUUCGCUCGAGAAGCGGAAAGUCGAAAUCCUGUGCGUCCUGAAUUUUUUGUCUUACUUCUUCGAGAGCGGUUGACCAAACGGAGUCACAAAUGCCAUAGUGGGUGUAUAAUAUACCUAAAAUACGAAGGGACGUGGCCGGUUGAAUAGG